GAGUGAUCGAAAGAUGAAAAGCACUUUGAAAAGAGGGUUAAAUAGCACGUGAAAUUGUUGAAAGGGAAGCGCUUGUGACCAGACUUGUGCCGGGCUGAUCAUCCAGUGUUCUCACUGGUGCACUCGACCCGGCUCAGGCCAGCGUCGGUUCUCGUGGGGGGAUAAAAACUUCGGGAACGUGGCUCCUCCGGGAGUGUUAUAGCCCGUUGUUUAAUACCCUCGUGGGGACCGAGGUUCGCGCUCUGCAAGGACGCUGGCAUAAUGGUCAUCAGCGACCC
rnacentral:rRNA from 1 species